rnacentral:rRNA from 1 species
UGCAUAUCAAAUAAGCGGAGGAAAAGAAACCAACAGGGAUUGCCUCAGUAGCGGCGAGUGAAGCGGCAAGAGCUCAGAUUUGAAAUCGUGCUUUGCGGCACGAGUUGUAGAUUGCAGGUUGGAGUCUGUGUGGAAGGCGGUGUCCAAGUCCCUUGGAACAGGGCGCCCAGGAGGGUGAGAGCCCCGUGGGAUGCCGGCGGAAGCAGUGAGGCCCUUCUGACGAGUCGAGUUGUUUGGGAAUGCAGCUCCAAGCGGGUGGUAAAUUCCAUCUAAGGCUAAAUACUGGCGAGAGACCGAUAGCGAACAAGUACUGUGAAGGAAAGAUGAAAAGCACUUUGAAAAGAGAGUGAAACAGCACGUGAAAUUGUUGAAAGGGAAGGGUAUUGCGCCCGACAUGGGGAUUGCGCACCGCUGCCUCUCGUGGGCGGCGCUCUGGGCUUUCCCUGGGCCAGCAUCGGUUCUUGCUGCAGGAGAAGGGGUUCUGGAACGUGGCUCUUCGGAGUGUUAUAGCCAGGGCCAGAUGCUGCGUGCGGGGACCGAGGACUGCGGCCGUGUAGUCACGGAU